GCAGUUCGUUAGAUGAUCGCCCGGUAUUUAUACUGGGAGGAAAGUCCGGGCAGCAUCGGACAUAGCAGUCGCUAACGGCGACCAAAGGUAACUUUAGGGAAAGUGCCACAGAAACAAAACUACCUCCGUACCUUUUAGCACUAGAUUAUCACCAGAUUUAAUCGAGUUAUAAGAGGUGCGGGGGAAAAGGUGAAAUGAGUGAGGUAAGAGCUCACAGUCGUCUAUGGUGACAUAGAUGAAAGGUAAACCCUGCUAGCUGCAAGGAGAUCUACACAAAGGGCUGUUCGUCCGUAGAUCGAUACCCGCUCGACCCUAUAGGCAACUGUAGGGCUAGAUAGAUGAUCAUCCACGACAGAACCCGGCUUACAGACGGACUGCCUAA
rnacentral:RNase_P_RNA from 1 species